GUAGGUGAACCUGCGGAAGGAUCAUUAUCGUAUCUCCGAGGAGGGGUUCGGUCUCUCCCUGCUCCGGCCCAACCGGGCCGUGCAGCGGGUACCCGUCCCCGACUCACAACCCAACCAAACCCCUGUGCUCCUUCACGGCCAGAGGGCGCCUCGUGCGCCUGAAGCCGCAUUAAACAAACCCCAGUUCAAAGAAUGUCAAGCGGACUCUGUGCCGUCUACAAUCGAAACAACUUUCAACAACGGAUCUCUUGGCUCUC
rnacentral:misc_RNA from 1 species